rnacentral:rRNA from 1 species
UACGAAGGGAGCGAGCGUUGUCCGGAAUUACUGGGCGUAAAGAGCAUGUAGGCGGCUUUAUUAGUUGGGUGUGAAAUCCCGGGGCUCAACCCCGGAACUGCAUUCAAUACUGUAAAGCUAGAGACCGAGAGAGGAAAGUGGAAUUACGAGUGUAGAGGUGAAAUUCGUAGAUAUUCGUAGGAACACCAGAGGCGAAGGCGACUUUCUGGCUCGGUACUGACGCUCAGAUGCGAAAGCGUGGGGAGCAAAC